UACGGAGGAUCCGAGCGUUAUCCGGAUUUAUUGGGUUUAAAGGGUGCGCAGGUUGUUUGAUAAGUCAGUGGUAAAAGUCUGUCGCUUAACGGUAGGAUUGCCAUUGAUACUGUUGGACUUGAAUAUGGAUGAGGUAGGCGGAAUGUGUAGUGUAGCGGUGAAAUGCAUAGAUAUUACACAGAACACCGAUUGCGAAGGCAGCUUACUAAUCCAUCAUUGACGCUGAGGCACGAAAGCGUGGGGAUCAAACAGGAUUA
rnacentral:rRNA from 1 species